UCCCUGGUAGUAUAUCGGUUAGUACACGCGCUUGUCAUGACCUUGUUUUCCCUUUCCACGCGCGAAAGCUGGGUUCGACUCCCAGCCAGGGAG